rnacentral:lncRNA from 1 species
AAUUCUAUUUGGGAAGAAAUAGGAUCAAGCUUGACAGCAACUCAGUCAGAUCAUCAAAGGCACAAGUUCCAACAUACUCGUUCAUAAUCUUGAGGAUGUUAUCACGAGUUCGGCAGAGGAGACUGAUGUCCUUCUGUAGCUGAAAAAGAAAAAUAUAAGAAAAAUGCCUUCAGUUUCACAGCUACAACUGCAAGACAUGCAUGAAGCAGGAUAGCAAACGCUUUUCACAGAAAUUACGGGUCAAGAAGCACCACCACAAACAUCAUUAAAGAGAAAACAAAAGCAUUACCCCAUUUGAGAAUUCUAAUUUGGGACCUGAUCAGAUCCAAUAUUAUUAAAUUACAAAUAUCCAACAAAUUUCUGACCUCCCUCCAAAUACUGGCCAAGAAAAAGGUGUUUUUCGUAUUAUGAAUUGCCACAAUGACCCAUCAUAAAUUCUUCCUCCUUAUCUUGAACCUCAUUAACGACAUCACAUUCAUCCAUUAAAUGAUUACAAGUAUAACUUAACAUAAGUUUCUUGACAUGAUGUGCACUUGAGGCUGAAUCAUCUCCCUUCAUCAACUCAUUUACAAUCACACACAAACUGUUUCAGGUGGAAGCAGAAAAUGGUAAACUCCAAUUAAUUUAUCUCAAAGCAAGAGAUGCAUACCUGCAUAAAUGAAAGCAUAAGGUAGCCUAGUUAGCUUUUACUAGACUACUUCAUCUCAAGAACUCUAUGGUGUUUUCAUUAUAUAACAUUUAACAGAAACUGCUAAUAUGAGUACAUGAGAUGUCCAAUCACUAACCCAAUUGAAAUCUACAUCCAUUAUCAAUUCAACCGUAUUUAAGGUUUUUAUGAACCACAAUGACUUAAUUCCGUAUGCUUGGAGAGAGGGGUUGAAAUCAACCCAUAAAGAAACUUUUCAUAGAAGAUUCUUUUAAUAUAACACUAUUAAUCCAGAAAACCUCUCAAGUGUUUUAUAAUAUGCAUCCAGAAAGGCUGUACAUUGAAAUCUUCUGACUCUGCUUAAGAUAAAAAGGGUUUCAUCAUUAAUGAUGCUCGAAUAUCAAGAUGCUGUAAUCAAUUAACUACAUGUUCUAUACAGAACUAACAUUGUAUCAAUUAUCAGAGACGAAUAUUUUCUCUAAGCGGAGAAUAAAUUCUCAAUGUGGCUAUAUAGCCGACCAUAACUGGUUUUAAAAUUGAGAUUUAGUUAAGUGAUGCCCUAAAAUAGGAAAGUAGAGAACUCCUGAAGAGCAAAAGUUCAGAUCUUGGCCGUGAAAUAAUAAUUGGUAACUUCCUAUGUAUAAUGAAUCAAGAACUACAAAUGUCUGCACGUGAACACAUACAGAGAAAUACAGGGAAAAGUAAGCAAAUCUACAGUACCAACACCCAACAUGAAAAUGCACAUCAUAAAAUGCCUCCAAUUCUUCCAAUCACCCAACUAUUACAUUCACAUUGUUGAGUUGUUACUUUUUAGUUCACAAUUACUGGUAGGAAAACAACAGCGAAUCCAAUAACAAAAAAUAUCAUGACAAUUAGGAUGCCAUUGAUCACAAAAGGACUUUGAUGGGGUUCAAUAGCUGGACAAAAACAAUAGCAGCUAAGCCUUAUUCCCAAAUUAGUUGGAGUCAAUUAUAUGGAUAUUUUUUUGCUGUUCAGCUUUACUUGAUAAUUCUUUUAUAUUACUUUCCUCCACUUCAUUUUAGGUCUCUCUCUUUCCCUUCUCGUUUCUUUUACCACUAGCUUAUCAUAUAUCCAUGCUACGACAUUCAAUACUCUAUGUUGGAUAUAAGCAAACUACCAUGAUAGAUUGUCUCCUUUGUUAAUAAAAAGAGGAACCAGAGUGCUUUUUGUCCAGUCAUUUGGCAUCUUUCCAUAUUUUAGUAUGUAAAUAGUUCCAUUAGCCAAGUGUUGUGAAGAGCUUGAUUCUGCUGGUUAGUCAUUUAGCCAAGUUAUGUCCUCUCUCUCUAUUUCUCGCCUCCCUUCCUUCUUCUUCUCUUUCUUGUCCCCUUUCUUCUGUAUUUUCCUCUCUCCUUCCCUCUCUGUUUUCUAUUGAGUUGUGGCCCUGCCACAACAUUUGGUAUCUGAACAGUUCAAUCCGGCAGAUCUAAAACCAGCACAACUUAAAUUGGCAAGGAACAAGCAAGGUAUUUGCUGAGAACCUUAGAUCACAGAAUCUGAUGGAGCAAAUGCAGUUGCAGAAUCAUAAAAUCCAAGAUUUGAGCUCGGAAUUACAUAAAAUUGAAGAAAUGAUGGAAAUGAUGAGAGCCUCACAAUGAAAAGGGAAUGGAACCACAAUUCCUGAAACUCUGGCCAGGCCAGCGGAAAAGGAAUAAGCGAUGGAGAAUUCCAUAAUUGGAAAAUACCAGGCUUCAAAUUAUUGAGGAACACAUGUUGAAGUUGAUUAAAGCUGCACAACUGAAAGUCCACAGGCCUGAGGCAUCUUGGAGCGAGGACCAUGAAUUGAGAUUAAAGUCUUUAAUAAGGAAGGUACAUCUCUUGCUGCUAGACUUGAUAUAACUUUUUGAAGACAAAAAGUGCAUUUUUCGUUGAGAAGGUUUCAAUUAAAGAAGAGGAUGUGAAAGUUUAACUGUUUGUGAAAAUGACAAAGUGAAUUGCAGAGGUCUUACAAGCCUUGAUAAGAAGUAUCCUAAGAUGAGUAUCUUUUCUAUUUGUGAAAUAUGAAUAAAUUUGGGAAUGACAUUUCUUAAUAAGAAGUAUCCUAAGAUGGGUAUCCUAACAUGUAUGGCUAGACAUCAAUAAUCAAUUAACAGUUCAUUUCUUGAAGGUGUUCAUGUCAUGCACAAGGCAUCUUCAACAAGUUAUUUGGCAGCUGCUCUAUUAACAGCCAGUUUCAACAUGUAAGACGUUACUUGUGCGUGUUAAUCUUCAUUAAAGGCCAAUUUACACAACUCAUCCUUGAGUACAAGAAUGCUUUCACAAGGGAGGGUAAUGUUGUGACCGCGAGCUAAGAUAAGAAGAGCUCGAGUCCGCUGGUUAGUUAGCUAACUGUCUGUUGGCUGAGUUCACAGACUAGUUAGCUGGUUAGUUGUGAAUCAGUUAGUUAGUUAGCUAGUUAGAUGAGAAAAUAACUGUAACAAUGAUUGGCCAGAUGAUGAUCCAAACUCCCAACUACCAUCAACGCCGCCCAAUCUUCAUUUUGAUGCUAAUAGAGAUUAUGAUAGAAUAAUUGAAGGUUCAGUCAGAAAAGUACAGAUAGAAUUGGAAAUAAAUUUGGCAAUUGAGACAAAAUUAUCAUAUUUAAUGGUAGUGCAUAAAAUUGAAAACCAUGAAAGUGUCCUUAAGCCACAUAGAGAAUAGAACCAAAGUUUUUUUUUUUUUUUUUACUAAGCUUUCCUGAAAUCAAUAGUAAGAAAAACUGGUUAUACUGGGUUAGUUAAGACCAAAAAAAGGAAGAUGUGUAAAAUUUAAUAAAUGUAGCUAAAGUAAUAUUCUUUCAGCUUGACAAUUCAGUUCUAAAUAAUCCUUUAUACCAAGAUAUUGAAAAUACAAAAGAAUCACAUAUUAACAUCUAGAUAAACAAGGGAAAUAUACAUGAGAAAUGUCAUCACUCUUCAUUCUAUUGGUGGAAAAGUAUGACCAGUAUAAUAAUUAAUAAUUAAUUAAGGAGAGAAAAUAUAAAAUAUUUUCCAACCAAUUGAUUGGAGAGCGUUGGACAAUCAUAUUGAAAAAGUGACUGUUCUAGGCAUUUCUCAAUGUACAUUAACAUUUUGAGGAACUUGGUUAGUAACAAUCUGCAUUUAUGGAGUAUUUAGUUCAUAAAAGUGGAGUGGGAUCCUUUUUUUUGGGUAUAAAAGAAACAUGCAAAAUGAUAAAUCUUGAUAGAAUUUAUAUGCGUCUAAUCAAGACCUCAAGUAACAAAAUUAUCAAGAACUCAACAAAAAAUGAAAUUCAGGCAAAGAUUCACAAAACGUGAAAUAAUCAAUACAAACCCCAACAAAAAAAUCACAAAUAAACAGAAUCAAGAAAGGUUGGAAUAACCCAAUUUAAGAAAAGCAUCAAGAAACUAAGUAAACUAGAAAUGAGAAUGACUAACUUGACUAAACCAUCUUCAAGAAUUGUUUGCUCUUCCUUGCUCCAUUCAGUGGAGAUACCAGGGUCGUGUCUCAGACCUGGAAUAGGACUUGCUGUUUUAGUGGGAUUUGCUUCAGUGAAGAAGAGGGCGCACGAUUGGAAUCUUGACGAUGGGUAUCAGAUGGGUUCGCCAUAAAAGAAAGAGAACAAUCAAAAGAAGAGAUUCUGUAGUCCUAUAUUUACAGAUACACAAAUCCCAAAUGCAAAAAACAAGAACAAGAAUCACAGAAUCUCAAAGCUUUGAAAACUUUCUCACCAGCAAUGGAGUUCCAGCCAUAAAAACAAAGAUUGAGAAGAUGGUUUUUAAGGAUUUUAGAGAAAUAUCAGGAGAUGGGUUUUGAGUUUUGAGAUGAAUGAAAUGAUUUUAUAUCCUUUUCUUCUAUAGAAAUAUAUGAAGAAACGGAUUCAGAGACAUGCAGCGUAUGAGACUGAAGGGAGCUCUCGCCAUUUACAACGGAAUUAGAGAGUGGGACGCGUACAGAAUCUAAAUGAAAAUAAUUGAAUCUUACCUCUGAUUUUGUAUUUAUUUUUGGGUAAAGUUUAAUUUAGUCCCUCUGGUUUAGUGAAAUGUAACAUUUCGUCUCUCUGUUUUAAAAAACCUUUAAUUUAGUCACUGUAAUUUUUAAAAACUAUGCAAUUAGUCCCUCCCGUUAGAUUUUCAGUUAAAUCACCGUUAAUUUUAGUUAAAAAGACUAAAAUACCCAUCCUUUUUCCUUCCUCUUCCUCUUCCUCUUCUUCUUCUUCUCUUCUCCUUCCCGAUCUCCUUUCUUCUUCUUCUUCUUCUUCUCUUUUCCGAUCUCCUUCUUCUUCUUCUUUUUCGAUCGAAAAUCUUGAUUUUCCAUCUUCAAUCAUCACACCUCUGUCUAUAUUAACCUUGAGGAGCUCACACAUAUUGCUCUGUUUCGAUUUGCACUGUGCACAUUCCUUGCAUUCGCCUGUGAAUAUAGGCAGGACGUGAUCGCCUGGUUCGAGUUCUGUCACACCCUCACCAACACUCUCCACAAUCCUUAAACCCCCCCCCCCCAGAAAAAAAAAGAUAAAAAUGUGAACAUGUGCUCGGAUCAAACACAUGAAAUACUCAUGGCAGAGGUUUACAUACCCUCCAGCCUCAUGACCAAAAAUUCUAGGAAACAAAGUACUCUGUCCCUGCCAGCGUAGAUAAAACAAGAAUCAUUGUGUGAGAGAUCAAGAAUGGAUAAUUUGUUCAGAGCAGAAAUCUGGGGUGGAAUCGUCCCAGUGAGUGCAUUACAACUCAAAUUCAAAGCAAUAUUAAGACCUUCAAUAUCAAAAAGUUCCACUGGGAUCAUGCCAGAUAGUGCAUUGCUACUAAGAUCAAGAAGUUGAAGGCUCAAACAAUGGCCAAGAGAGGAAGGGAUUGCUCUAAACAGAGAGUUCUUGUUGAGGAUGAGUCUGUUGAGUGAACUAACUUUGCCAAAACCACUUGGAAUUUCACCCACAAAUUGAUUUACAGAAAGAUCCAAUACCUCAAGCCUUGUCAAAGAAGAUAAAGAGCUAGGCAGAGUGCCUCGAAGGGUAUUGUUGCUUAAGUUCAGCAUCUGCAGCUCAUUGCAAUUGCCAAUUUCUGCUGGCAGCGUUCCACCAAUAUGGUUUUCAGACAAGUCGAGGAAACUGAGGUUUUUCAGGAGCCCGAUUUCUUUUGGAAUUUCUCCACUGAUUCUGUUAUUAACAAGCCGAAGACGAAUAAGAGAGACACAGUUUCCCACCUCAGGAGGAAUCGAACCGAAAAUGUCGUUAGCAAUUAAGAGAAGCUUUGUCAGGUUCUGAAGCUGAAACAGGCUUGGAGGUAAGCUACCAGUAAGUGAAUUUUGUGACAAAUCUAACGCUUUAAAUCCCCAAACCUCUCUUUCUCUCUCUCUAAAAUGAUUCUUAUCUUAAAACUCAACCCAGCACAGCUUCCUUUGCAAAUAAGCAAGAACAAGAGAGAAACCAACAAAAACAAGAAAGAUUAAAGAUUUUCAACCACUCCACCAUCUUCACCUCGGGGUUCUGUUCUUGCUUCAUCUUUUUGGUCUUUGUUUAUUUGAAUAGAUUCUUGGUAGAGUAUUGGGUUGCAGAAGAAGAAGAGGAAGGAGAGAGAUCGAAAAAGAGAAGAAGAAGAAGAAGAAGAAGAAGAAGAAAAAGAAGAAGGAGAUGGGGAAGGAGAAGAAGAAGAAGAAGAAGAGGAAGAGGAAGGAGAGAGAAUGAGUAUUUUAGUCUUUUUAAUUAAAAUUAACGAUGAUUUAACUGAAAAUCUAACGAGAGGGACUAAUGUUAUAGUUUUUAAAAAUCACAGGGACUAAAUUGAAGGUUUUUUAAAACAGAGGGACGAAAGGUUAUAUUUCACUAAACCAGAGGGACUAAAUUACACAUUACACUUUACCCUUUAUUUUUUGAAUUGUAUAAUUAUUUAAUUUUUAAUAUAUAUAUAUAAUUUUUAAAUAUUUCUUUAAUUCAUAUAAUUUCAACCGUUUAAAAAAAUAAAUGAAUUAAAAGUGUAAUUUUAAUUCAUAAUUCUUUGAGUUUAAAUUAAAAUAUAUAUACAAAUCUAUUUAAUUAAUUGAAUUUAAAGUUGAAUAGAAAUCAAAUCUCUCGCAUCAAAGUAAAAUUUUUCAAAUUCUAAAUUAAAAUUUUCUAACAAGAUCAUAUCCAUUAUUGAAAUAAAAAUUGAAUUUAAAUACAAAACUCAUCUGAUCAAUUCAUAUCAAUAUAUGAAUUUUUUUUUUCAAAUUUUAAACAAUGUAGACUAUUAUCUACUUCAUUAUCUUAUAAAUAAAAUAUAUAUUAUCGUAUAAUUAUUUUUUAAAAAUAUUGAAGUUGUUAUCAAAUAAUUUAAUAUUAUAAUAAUUAUCUUAAUAUUUCAACAAAAAAAUUAUUUAAAAAUUAAAUUAUUAUUGUCCUAAAGUGAAUUAUAUUAUUACUUUAUUACCUUAUUAUAAUCUUUAAGGUAUUUACAUAAUAAAUAAACUGUUAUAACAUUUAAAAUUAUGAAAUGAUAAAACCAAGUUAUGGAAUCAUCAUAAUUUUAUUUUUAAAAUUAAGUAGUUUAAUUAAGAUAACCUAUUUCAAAAAUAAAAAAUUAUUUUCUAAUAAUAUUAUUAUUCCAAUAAUUUUAAUAUUUAAUAUUUUUAUUAGAAUUAAACAAUCAUUAUCAUAUGGUUAAACCAUAUAAUUACUUUAUAAUCCUAUUUUUUCCCAAAAAAAAAAUCAAAAACUGUUAUCAAAAUUAUUGUCAAUUGUUAUCAUGGAAUAUGGGCGAAAAUGAAAACCCACAUUUUUAUUUUGGAAGAAUUUUAUGUUGUAAACCCACAUUUUUAUUUUGGAAGAAUUUUUUUGUUGUUUGUUCAAGUAUGAGAUUACAUAGAAUAACCGACAAACCGAUCAAGUUAAUAGUUUUUUCUUUUACUUUGGUUGAAUAUGCUAAAAACCGGCUUUAUUAUUUAUCUCUAGUAUCAAUUACUAUCUAAAUACAAAUUAGAGAUUUAUUUUUAAAAAGAUUUUUUUCAACAAUUAAAACCUUAUCUCUUAAUACUGCUAAAGGAUAGGAAAUUGUGACAAGACUGUUUUUAUCUAAUCUUAACUUGUUAAAAACGUUUAAGAUGAAAAAGUUAACGAAACUAUAUGCAUCUACCAAUACUCGCCUUAUCUCGUACUGAUUCAGGAGGAUCAUAACAACCAGCAGGUCAUUUUGAAAGAAUCCAACCGCUUUAUCAGCAGGACUGAACCUUACCUCUUACUUGGUCCUUGGUGCUUUAUCAACUAACAAGACAUCUUCUGCUACAUGCUUAUUUUUUCUUUACCUUUAUCAGGUUCUCCCAUAAUGAUAUGUACAAUUCCAACCAUUUUAAAAGAUAAAGACGAAAUGUUCCUUUGUUAAAGAGAAAGGAAACAAGAGACCGGUUUUAAUCCAAAUAAACAAAGAUAUAAUUCAAAGAAUUUCCUGACAACGAAGCCGAAUGAUGUUGCAGAGAUUAGACUGAUGAUGUGGUCGGAAGGAAGCUACGCUGUGAUGGAUUGGACCUACAAAGAAGAGAACGUGAGGUGGUGGAUGCUCACGGCAGCCACUCUGACACUCAAGUCACUCAGGUCAGUAUACUGAAGAAAAGAGAGAGAAUGCAAUGAAUUGCUGAGAGUUUUUGUAUAAGAGAAUCGCAUACCUUUUAUAAGAGAAUCGCAUACCUUUUAUAUCAUAAGAAGGUGGAGAUAAAUAUAAUAUUUCUCAAUAAUUUGGUGAUGAUGUGAUCAGCUACUUGAUAAGGGAUCGCUAGCUAAUAGGUUGGUAAUCUUACGAUUACAGGCGUAAUAGGGAUGCGCUGGACUGCGCUUGAUAAUGGUAACUUCAUAUAGAGACUCGCCCUGUCGUGAGAAUGGCGAGACUUGAUGAUCCGAGUGUUAAAAUAUUUAGAUUUUUUUUUCCUCGGAAUGAACCGUGUUUCCCACUUAUCCUUUUUCACGUGACCUUAUCUUCUAGUAAUAACUCGUAACUUAUUUUAUUUUGAGCGAUUAUUAUGUAGUAUCACUUAUAUUUUAUUAUUAAAUUGUAAUAUCAAAAAAAGCAAACAGAGUUAAUAAGAUUCAUGUAUAAUUUCUAAAAAUAUAUAUAAAAAUAAAGUAACACUUUAUAAUUUUUCUUACAAAUUUAAAAAUUUAAAACUCACAAAUAAACUAUUAUCAUUAAUAAAAAAUAGAAAUAUAUGUACACAGCUCUCUCAUUCUUUCUGCUAUUAUAUAAGAUUUGUGAAUUUACUGUUUUUUUUUUUAAUUUUUAUAAAUGAUUUUAAUUAGAAUUUAAACUCGAAUCAUUAUAAUUUUAAUUAGAAUUUAAACUAAAUAAUAUAUUAAAAAAUUUAUUAUCUAGUCUAUAAAAUAUAAAAAACCAUUAAUUGAUUUAUCGAUUUUGAAAAAUAAAUUAAAAAUCUCCAAAAUUUUAAAAAAUAUAUAAAGCCUAUCCAUUAACUUUAGUUAUUAAAUAUUUUAUAUUUAAUUUAUGUGUUACUAUUUUAAAUUUUUUUUACAAUAUUUAACAACUAGUCUAAAUAGUCUUUUAUCAUUUUGUAUAAGAGAAUCGCAUACCAUUACCUUUGUGAUUCUUCUCCUUUUAUAUUAUAAGAAGGUGGGGAUAUAUAUAAUAUUUCUCAAUAAUUUAAUGAUGAUGUGAUCAGUUACUUGAUAAGGGAUAUUGCUAGCUAAUAGGUUGGUAAUCCUAUGAUUAUAAGCGUAAUGGAGAUGCGCUAGACUGCGCUUGAUAAUGGUAACUUCAUACAGAAACUUGCUAUGUCGUGAGAAGGGCGAGACUUAUGAUAAUCCGAGUGUCAAAAUCAAGGGCGAGACUUGAUGAUGAUCUGAGUGUCAGAGUGUUCGUGUUUUCCACUUAUCCUUUACUACGUGACCUUAUUUUGUAAUAAUAAUUUAUAAUUUAUUUUUAUUUGAGCGAUUAUUAUGUAGUAUCACUUAUCUUCUAUUAUUAAGUUGUAAUAUCAAAAAAAGUAAACAGAGUUAAUAAGAUUCAUGUAUAAUUUCUAAAAAAAUAUAUAAAAAUAAAGUAACACUUUAUAAUUUUUCUUACAAAUUUAAAAAUUUAAAACUCACAAAUAAACUAUUAUCAUUAUUUUUUUUUAAAACUAUUAUCAUUAAUAAAAAAUAGAAAUAUACGUACACAGCUCUCUCUUUCUUUUUGCUAUUAUAUAAGAUUUGUGAAUUUACUGUUUUUUUUUUUAAUUUUUAUAAAUGAUUUUAAUUAGAAUUUAAACUCGAAUCAUUAUAAUUUUAGAUACAAUUCAAUUGUACUAUUUCUGAAUAAUAUAUUAAAAAAUUUAUUAUAUAGUCUAUAAAAUAUAAAAAACCAUUAAUUGAUUUAUCGAUUUUGAAAAAUAAAUUAAAAAUCUCUAAAAUUUUAAAAAAUAUAUAAAGUAUUAUCCUGACGAAAACAACUCGAGGUCGAGUUUUUUACAAGUGGAAGGGAAUGAUAUGGAGCAGUUAGCCUUGGACUUUAUGGCAGACUUGGACCGGGCCUAACUUUUGUUGCCGACAUCCGAUAGAGACCCACGAUAGCUUUUCGGAAAGGGAGUUUCGAGACACACAACUUUCAAAAGUGUGACGAGGGCUGUAGGCCUAUCACAAAGUUCGAUAUGGAAAUUUCAUCGUUUAUGGAGUCAAUUUUACAAUUUAAUUAAUUUUUUAGAUAUUUUAGGUAUUUUUGUAAUUUUAUAUAUUAGGAUUUUAUUUCUAUUAUAAAUAGCCUCCCUUAACUAUUAGAAAACACUUUUCAAUCUUUGAGGAAUUUCAGUAAGAAUUUUAGUCUUUUAUCCUAUCUUUUCUCUUAUUUCGUCUUAGCCAAACGAUAUUGGUUGAAACUCUUAACGGAGUCUAAAUAGUCCUUUAUCAUUUUGUAUAAGAGAAUCGUGUACAUUUAUCUUUGUGAUUCUUCUCCUUUUAUAUUAUAAAAAGAUGGAGACACUUCACACCUCGGAACGCACCGUUCUUAUAGAGAGAGGCGCUUUCGCAUCUUCUUAUAAAUAUAAUAUUUCUCGAUAAUUUAGUGAUGAUGUGAUCAGUUACUUGAUAAGAGAUAUUGAUAGCUAAUAGGUUGGUAAUCCUACGAUUAUAGGCAUAAUGGGGAUACGCUGGACUGCGCUUGAUAAUGGUAACUUAAUACAGAGACUCGCCCUGUCGUGAGAAGGGCGAGACUUGAUGAUAAUCCGAGUGUCAAAAUCAAGGGCGAGACUUGAUGAUGAUCUUAGUGUUAGAGUGUUCGUAUUUUCCACCUAUACCUUUGCUACGUGACCUUAUCUUGUAAUAAUAAUUCAUAAUUUAUUUUAUUUUAAGCGAUUAUUAUGUAGUAUCACUUAUCUUCUAUUAUUAAGUUGUAAUAUCAAAAACAAGUAAACAGAGUAAAUAAGAUUCAUGUAUGAUUUCUAAAAAAAUAUAUAAAAAUAUAAAAAAUCAUUAAUUGAUUUAUCAAUUUUGAAAAAUAAAUUAAAAAUCUCCAAAAUUUUAAAAAAUAUAUAAAGUCUAUCCAUUAACUUUAGUUAUUAAAUAUUUUAUAUUUAGUUUAUAUGUUAAUAUUUUAAAUUUUUUUACAAUAUUUAACAACUAAAAUUUAAUAAAAAGACUAAUUAACAAAUUUUUUAAAAAUUUAACUAAUGAGCUUUCUAGACCACAUAUAACAAAUAGUAGUUUUUCCAAGUUUAUUAAGCUAAAACACAGUGAAAGCUGCAUCUUACAUAAGAUGANNNNNNNNNNNNNNNNNNNNNNNNNNNNNNNNNNNNNNNNNNNNNNNNNNNNNNNNNNNNNNNNNNNNNNNNNNNNNNNNNNNNNNNNNNNNNNNNNNNNNNNNNNNNNNNNNNNNNNNNNNNNNNNNNNNNNNNNNNNNNNNNNNNNNNNNNNNNNNNNNNNNNNNNNNNNNNNNNNNNNNNNNNNNNNNNNNNNNNNNNNNNNNNNNNNNNNNNNNNNNNNNNNNNNNNNNNNNNNNNNNNNNNNNNNNNNNNNNNNNNNNNNNNNNNNNUUAUCCCAACAGCAAACAACUGAUAACAAAUCGUAUAUGAUUCAAACAUGCGAAAAUUAAAAUUUCACAUCUUUAUUUAUUUGCACGCAUAAGGGAGUAAAUCUAUAAAUUUAAACUAAAAUUAGUUUUUCGGUCCAAUCUCGCCCGCACGAGCCUUACUCGCUCUUUACAAGUCUAAUAACAAAAAUUCAUUUAUAAAUCAAGAAUUCAUUAUCUUAUUAUACAUAAAACAAACCAUUUAUUAAAAAUAUGAUAUUAUAUAUAGUAAAAAAUUAAAUUUCUCAGCAGUAAUUUUAAAUUAUUAUCAUACUAUUGGCUCAAUAGUAUUAAGAUAACAAUUUACUCUAAAAUGCGAUCGUGUUUGAAGAAUUUAUAACCUUGAUUGAUGGUUCCAGCAAAAAUAUUGUGGGUACCCAUUUGAUAUAGCAGAUUGAAUAUCUUUUCUUGGCGAUGUUUUACAGCAAGAAGAAAAAUGUUUUGUCCAGCCAUAUUCCUUAGCCAAACCGUGCCAGGGUAGGACUUAAUCAUCUCAGUAACGAAUUCUCGGAUGCCUAAUAUUGCAGCAAUUCUUGUUGGAGGUCCUAAUAGAUUAUCAGCUUCUAAAACACUCCCUUUUAAAGCUUCAGAAAUCAAGAAUCUGAGUAGCUCCAUUGCUUGCUUAUGCAUCACUUUUGUUUUCUGUAUGUGCUGUAGGAAUUGAAACUGCAAGGAUUCGUUUUUGUAUUCAUCAAAACUCCCACCUGGAGUUUCUACGUCUUUGCCUUGAUGAACACUUGUUUUAUCUGCAGAAGUAACUGCAAAAUCUGCAGAGAAAAGGCCUAGUCAAUGAGUGAUCUAACUCGCAUACAGAUGGACUAAACUUCUCUAACUAAUAAAUUUUUACUUAUGAAAUAAUUAACUAGUAGAUUUUUUAAAAUGUCUGACUGUUUUAAAUGUGUUUUAAAAAAUAAGAGACUAACAAUUGAUUUCUUGCAUAUCACGGAGAUUAAACAAUAAAUUUCACUAAAUGAAACAGAUCAAGAUUGCUAGACCAACAAUGAUAGAGAAAACGCUGAAAAAAUCCAAGCCGACUUCCACUUAAGAAUGCAUGAGGUUUUUCAACCAAUCUGUCUAAAGCUGAAAAUCCAUUAUAGUCUCUUUUGCGAGCUAAUCCAGGGUAGCGUUGCAACACACUAAGAGCAAUGCCUGUUCAUGAAAACAUGAGAAGAAAAUGGUUAUCAACGGAUCAUAGCUGAAUAUUUGUUUAAUUACACACAAAUCAUGUUGAACAUAACUAUAAAAAUCUGCAAUUAUCAGCAAAUUUAGAAGCCUGACACCAUCUUCAUCUGUAAAAGGACUUGAACGAAUUGGAUCUUCUUCAUCCUCAGUCACUAACAGAAGAUACUGAACUGUAUCUUCAUGGGCAUAAGCAGCAGCACGAUGAAGUGGGGUGUCAUUACCAGAGUUUCUUUCUUGAGGCAAUUUUGGAUUUUUGUUAACCAGAAGCUUUGCAGCUGCUGUGUUUCCAGCUACACCAGCAUAGUGAAGAGGAGUAUCGCCAUACUUAGUUUUUAUUCCAAGUUCAUCUGCUGACAUUCUAUCUACAAGCUUCUGCACAAAUUCAAUGGAAUGACCAGCGCUGAUUGAGACAUGAAGAGCAGUCUCAUGUAAGCCUAAAAUUUUAGCAGUUAGAGCAUUUGAAUCACUGUCAAAAAUUCUCUUUGCAGAAAUCCAAUCCCCAUGUAGUGCAGCUUUAUACAGUGGCAAAUAGUGGUUAUCAUUCUCACUUCCCAUCUCUUGCACUCCUGUGAAGAACAAAAAUUAAGUAAAAAAUAAAACAAAAAUCCAGAAAUGAAGAAAUUUUAAAGGGUACCAAGGAAAUAAAUCUUUAUUUCUUGGCUGGGAAUGCUGGAAUCUGCAUAUUCUUGGAGUAAAAUGGGAGAAAGUGAAAGAUCUGCUCCUUUACUUUAUGCUUUUGUAGCAAGUCCUUGCUUGUUUCAUUCUCAUCUACCAUUUCUUGCGUCCUGCAAUAACAGAAAACUGAAAAAAAAUAAAAAUAAAAAAUACACUAAGGAAGAAGAAAUAGAAGUGGCUUUCAUGUUAGAGCUUCGCAUUCAUUUGUUGACAAAGACAAAAUUGGAAUUUUAAGGCAUAUAUAAUUUUUUUUAGACAAGUGGGGAUAGCAAUUUGUGUUGAAAACAAAAGGGCAUAGACUUAUAAUAAUGUUAAUUAAUUAAAUAUUUUUAUGUGCUGUGACACCAAAUUUCUAUCCAAAUUAUAUACUUCACAUAAUUAAAAAAUUUUAAAUUUUUUUAUGACAUAUGAAUAUAAUAAAAUAAUUUACAUAAUCUUGUUACACUCUCCCUAAUUUAAGUUUUAAAUUUAAAUAUAAUUACAAUAAAUUUUAAAAUUUUAAAUAAUUUUAUGAAAUUUUAAAAUUUUAAAUUAAAUUAAAAAUUAAAAAUUUUCAUGUAAAUAACAUUUUAUUUUUUGUUGCAAAUUGGGUAUUAUUCAAUUCUAAUUAAGUAGUCAAACCAAAUUAAUCAUUCUUUCAAUUCUUCUAUUAUGAUUUUAGUUUGGUUGAUUUUCAAAUUUUUAUUAUUUCAAUUGAUUUUAUUAAUUUAACGUUUGAGUAUAUAAUCGAAUGUUGAAUAACUAUUGAAUGAAAGAUUUUUUUUUGUGAGAUUUAUUAUUUAAUAUCUGAAUAUUGUUAUUAUUAUCAAAUUAGUAUUGAAUAUUGUUAUUAUUAUCAAAUCAGUCUCUACAGUUUUAAAAAUCUAUUAAAAUGUUUUUAUUUUUUGUUUUCAUUAACGAAAUAGUCAUUCCGUUAUUUUUUUUCAUUAAAAACAGAUAAAAUAUUAUUUUUUGUUUUCAUUAACGAAAUAGUCAUUCCGUUAUUUUUUUUCAUUAAAAACAGAUAAAAUAUAAAAGCGAUGAAAGAGAAAAUUUUUAAAAUUUAAUUUUACCCUCAAAUAAAAUAUUUUUUUAGUUUCUUGAUAUUACGAUUAUUAAUAAAUAUAUCCCUUCAUUUUUAGAAAUCUAUUAAAACAUUUUUUUUUCAGAUAUAUUAAAACGUUUUUAUCUUUUCUUUUCUCAGAUCUAUUAAAAUGUCUUUAUUGUUACUUUCCCAUCAACAAAAUAGUCUUUUUCGUCAUUCUCUUAAAAAAAAUAAUAAAAAGAAGAAGGAGAAGAAGAUGAUGAAGAAGAAAAAGAAGAAAAAAAAAAGAAAAAGAACAAGAAGAGAAAGAACAAGAAGGAGAAGCAAAAAGAAGAAUCGAAGAAGAAGAGGAAGAAUCGAAGAAGAAGAAGGAAAACGGGAAGGAGAAGGAGAAAGAGGAGGAAGAGGAGAAGAGGGAGGAUAGUUUUGUUUUUUGUUAUAUUUUUAACGAUAGAAAUUGACAGAGAGAAAAAUAAAAACGUUUUAAUAGGUUUUUAAAAAUUUAGAGACUGACUUGUUAAUAAUGGUAAUAUUUAGAGACUAAAUUAUAAAUUUUCUUUUUCUUUUUUCACAGAUUGAUUGACUGUAUUCAGAAAAUUCAAAAUAUCUCCUUUAUUUUUUGAGUUGGGUCUACAACAUCUGUCUAGUUUAAACCACCUCCUCCUUUUGUCAAAUGUAACAUUAAUGCAGUAGUACCAGUGAAUCGGACUGGUGUUGGUCUUGGUUGGCUGUUAAGAGACUUGCAAGGAUGUUUCAGGAGCUGCUAUUUUCUUGACAGUUCCGAAAGAAUGGAGCUACUAAGAACAACCAAGAUCUCGAAUGCCAAACCCCCAAUGAUCCUUAGCACGUCGUACACUUUCCCGAGAAACCAAAGCAAAUUUUCUUUUCUAAUUUGCUCAUGAGCUUAUUAUCCUAGGUCGCCACUAUUAAUUACUCUAAACUUUAUUAAAGUUUAACCUAGAAACAAAAUAUUAAUAAAACUGUGCUAUACUCAUUAUUAUUCAUUCCCUAAAUAUUAAAUGAAAAAAUCAACCAACUUUCUAUAUGAAAUGAACCAUUUCUUCUAAGCAAACUGUGAUUGAAGGCAGCAAAAACAAAAUACUAAAAUCUAUAGGUCAACCGGCCGGUGGUGGCUGUUCCAUCGUCUACAGAUUAGUUGAUCGGAGGCUGGAUGAUCUGACUGAGAAGGGUCAUGAUCAUUUCAUUGGAAGAUUCGGACGAUAGGGAAGCAUGGUGUUAGCUAGCUUUUCAUUCAACUUGAAUGGCAAUGGUGGCAUCUGCUUCAUUACAUCAGGCGUCAUUCAACCUGCAAAUAUAAACGAGACAGAUGAAUUCUAUUUGGGAAGAAAUAGGAUCAAGCUUGACAGGAACUCAGUCAGAUCAUCAAAGGCACAAGUUCCAACAUACUCGUUCAUAAUCUUGAGGAUGUUAUCACGAGUUCAGCAGAGGAGACUGAUGUUCUUCUGUAGCUGAAAAAGAAAAAUAUAAGAAAAAUGCCUUCAGUUUCACGGCUACAACUGCAAGACAUGCAUGAAGCAGGAUGAAAAACAAGAACACUAGCAAACGCUUUUCACAGAAAUUACGGGUCAAGAAGCACCACCACAAACAUCAUUAAAGAGAAAACAAAAGCAUUACCCCAUUUGAGAAUUCUAAUUUGGGACCUGAUCAGAUCCAAUAUUAUUAAAUUACAAAUAUCCAACAAAUUUCUGACCUCCCUCCAAAUACUGGCCAAGAAAAAGGUGUUUUUCGUAUUAUGAAUUGCCACAAUGACCCAUCAUAAAUUCUUCCUCCUUAUCUUGAACCUCAUUAACGACAUCACAUUCAUCCAUUAAAUGAUUACAAGUAUAACUUAACAUAAGUUUCUUGACAUGAUGUGCACUUGAGGCUGAAUCAUCUCCCUUCAUCAACUCAUUUACAAUCACACACAAACUGUUUCAGGUGGAAGCAGAAAAUGGUAAACUCCAAUUAAUUUAUCUCA